rnacentral:sRNA from 1 species
AGCUCUCAGCCCUAAUCCAGAGGCUGGCCUUGCUGCAGGUCCCCCUCCAGGCCUGGCAGCUGCUUGGCCAACCUGGCGUCACGGUGCGGCCUCCAGGACGACUUCACGCUCCACCCACCCAACCUGCUGCUCUUCUACAACCUGAGCCAGGUGCGGGAAGCCGACUGCCGGGCCUUCAUCCGCCGUGCCGCCCAGGAGGACGUGGAGCUGCUGAGCCAUCUACCCGACCAGAGGGUCGCCCUGCGGCGUGCGGCUGGGGCCUGCCUGGUGGGCGCUGGGUGGGGUGGGCCGGAGCGUGUGGGGGGUGGCUGUGGCCUGUCUGGUGGGCGCCUGGGCAGGAUGGGCCCAGUGCAUUGGAGGCAGCCUCCCGCUGGGCGCCGACCUGCUGGCCCUGCAGGGGGUGGCCCGCCCGCGACUCAGCGCCUCCGACCUGCAACUGCUCGGGGCCCUGGUGUGUGACAUGGACUCGUCCAGCAUCGGUGCCGCAGACCCCCGCGUGCUGGAGAACCUGCGGCGCUGCCCCCGGCUGACCGCCGCCCAGUGCAUUGCCCUUAACUCACUGCUGGCCGGUGGGAAGACCUCGCUCGGGCCCCCUGGCUCCUGGACACUGGAGGGGCUACAGGCCCUGGGGCCCCUGGCCACAUACAUCAGCCCUCACCUGUGGGCGCAGGUGCAGGAGGCCGUGGGCCUGGGCUUCUUCCACAGCGUGGUGGCUUCGUGCCAGGUGGGAAAGCUCGGCCAGCGCGAGGCCAGUUGCUUCGUCACCAGCUUCCUGGAGUCCAAGACCAAACCAGUGUCCUCCAGGCCCAGGCUCAGCACA